CCUGUCACGGUGAUCAAGGGAAAUAAAUCACAGUCAUAAGAUUAAUGCGCUUUUUGUGAUACAACAUUUAAUUUUAAAGCAUUUAAAUAUGGUAAAGCAUAAUUACUAGCUGUCUUAAUCACCAUCGUUAUUAUCACAUAACAGGAGCUGAAAGCAGACUGAUUUCGCCUGUCGUUGUUAUGGCAACAUCAGCCCACCGAAGCAGGACACGAUGUCGGGAAGUAACUGGACCUGGACAUUCAGUGGCAUUGAGAGCAAAGCCUCCUUUAUCCAAAGACGUAGAUGACUUCUUUCUGCGGAGGAGGAAACAGGAG